rnacentral:rRNA from 1 species
AGAGUUUGAUCCUGGCUCAGGAUUAACGCUGGCGGCGCACAUAAGACAUGCAAGUCGAACGGAAGUCGUUAUAACUCAGAACAAAGAUUUAUCUGAGGGACGAGAUAUAACAAUGGCUUUAGUGGCGGACUGGUGAGUAACACGUAAGAAACCUGCCUAUUAGAGGGGAAUAACAACGAGAAAUCGUUGCUAAUACCGCAUAAGCUAGUAGUACCGCAUGGUACAGCUAGAAAAGGAGAAAUCCGCUAAUAGAUGGUCUUGCGUCCGAUUAGCUAGUUGGUGGGGUAACGGCCUACCAAGGCAACGAUCGGUAGCCGAGCUGAGAGGCUCAACGGCCACAUUGGGACUGAGAUACGGCCCAGACUCCUACGGGAGGCAGCAGUCGGGAAUAUUGCGCAAUGGAGGAAACUCUGACGCAGUGACGCCGCGUGCAGGAAGAAGGUUUUCGGAUUGUAAACUGCUUUAGACAGGGAAGAGAAAGGACAGUACCUGUAGAAUAAGCUCCGGCUAACUACGUGCCAGCAGCCGCGGUAAUACGUAGGGAGCAAGCGUUGUCCGGAUUUACUGGGUGUAAAGGGUGCGUAGGCGGCUUUGCAAGUCAGAUGUGAAAUCUAUGGGCUCAACCCAUAAACUGCAUUUGAAACUGUAGAGCUUGAGUGAAGUAGAGGCAGGCGGAAUUCCCCGUGUAGCGGUGAAAUGCGUAGAGAUGGGGAGGAACACCAGUGGCGAAGGCGGCCUGCUGGGCUUUAACUGACGCUGAGGCACGAAAGCGUGGGUAGCAAACAGGAUUAGAUACCCUGGUAGUCCACGCUGUAAACGAUGAUUACUAGGUGUGGGGGGUCUGACCCCUUCCGUGCCGGAGUUAACACAAUAAGUAAUCCACCUGGGGAGUACGGCCGCAAGGUUGAAACUCAAAGGAAUUGACGGGGGCCCGCACAAGCAGUGGAGUAU